UGAUUUUAUCGAGUUGAAUACCUGCAUUCAUGUGGGUAUCUUGAUUCUUACUCUGAAUAGGAAGAUCUGAUGC